rnacentral:rRNA from 1 species
CAGCCGCCACGGUAAUACGAAGGUCCCGAGCGUUGUUCGGAAUCACUGGGCGUAAAGGGAGCGUAGGCGGCGUGGUAAGUCAGAUGUGAAAUCCCGGGGCUCAACCCCGGAACUGCAUCCGAUACUGCCAUGCUAGAGGAUUGGAGAGGUAGCUGGAAUUCUUGGUGUAGCAGUGAAAUGCGUGGAGAUCAAGAGGAACACUCGUGGCGAAAGCGAGCUACUGGACAAUAACUGACGCUGAGGCUCGAAGGCCAGGGUAGCGAAAGGGAUUAGAGACCCCUGUAGUCCUGUCUCUUAUACA